rnacentral:rRNA from 1 species
GUCUACGGCCCUGCCACCCUGAACAUGCCCAAUCUCGACUGAUCUCAGAAGCUAAGCAGGGUCGGGCCUGGUUAGUACUUGGAUGGGAGACCACCUAGGAAUACCAGGUACUGUAGGUA